rnacentral:lncRNA from 1 species
GUUAACUAAGGAAGAGCUAGGACUUGACCUAGGAAUUGUACUGGAUCAGACCAAUGGUUCAUCUAAUCCAGUAUCCUGUGCCUGACAAUGGCCAGUACCAGAUGCUUCAGAAGAAGGUGCAAGAAACACAUUUGAAAGCUUUGCUCUUUUCCAUUCUUUCUGACUCUUAAGCCUCCGUUUAGAUUGUAAGCCAAUCCUUUGUCUACCUAGCUUCUGGUAGCAGAGUCUGCAGAGUCAGACAAGGAUCCUGCUCUGCAUGACUCUGGAGACUCUCAGAUCCUGGUUCCUCUAACUAACUGCCUCAGUUCUUUGAGUUCUGACUGAUUUUUUUUCCUGUCUCUCUCACAGCAUCUCCAUAAAUAGCCUAGUCCAGUCAGGUGCUGGCUGAAAAUUGUGGAUCUUCCUGGAGCAGAGAACCUCACUGAGAACCUGUGGGGUGGGAGUUUAAGAGAGAAGCUUCUGCUGAAGAAGUCCUUGGUGGCUUUCUACCAGUGAUUCCAAGUUGACCCAGUUGCUGGAAGAAGCCCUGGCCAGGAACAGCAAGACCACGGUUAUUUUCUGCCUGUCUCCAACCUUAGAUUCUUGGCACCUAGCGGCUGUGCUGAAGACCUGUAUAGCUCUCUCGCAAGUUAAGAACUUCCCUGUUUUAAAUGAAUACUUUGUAGAGGUACAGUAUAAAUCCCAAAUCCCUAGAUUCUGGCCUCAGCUCAAUCUUUUCUGGGAGGAAUCUAGACAUUUAAUAGGGCUGGGUUGCUGAACACUGAAUAUUAAUGGCUGCUUAAACUGCAACAUCUAUGUCAAUAUGAUGGUUGGGUUCAUAGUGCAUUGUUCGUUGGGUUAAAAACAGGGCUGGCUUAAUAGGUCACCGAAAGAUACAAACGUAUGUUCAACUGCAUGAUUCAUAUCUAAAUUCAACCAGCCAGACUAAAUUCAACCAGUGGAUGUUUGAGUUUGGUGAUGUGGUGCUUGCAUCCUCAUUUUGUGAUGAUGCCCUAGGAAAUUUUGCACUGUGGGAGACCAGAGCACAGAAAAGAUGAGAAGGUUGGCUACUUUUCCCCUGCUGUGCUUUCUCUCCUGCCACUUCUGCCCCAUCCCAAAAACCUCAGUCCUGCUUGGUGGCAUGUGAUUAUGGAUAUUUUGAAUUUUCUGAAUUUAGCAGGUAAACUCAAACCUGAACCCAACAUCUUUUGAUAUUGCCCAGCAUUAGUGUUCUCAGACCAUCAUGGGCUGGAAACAUUGGAGAUGAUGCUCUGUCCUGAGUGUAGAGGCAAAGCUCUUUUCCACCCCCAGCGGCUAGUUAUAGAAUAGCAUUUCAACCUCCUUCAAAGAUUUUUUCCCGUUCCAGACACAGGGUAAGUAUACUUCAUCUAUAGGGAGAGGGUGCUU